ensembl:lncRNA
GGUGAAGUUAUUUAUUGGUUCAAGAGGCUUUAUUUAACUCUUUUAAAGGCAUAUAAAUAAUUUCAAGUGUUCCAGUAUGCUUCUAUGAUGCUUUACACCUCCACAUCCAAGUGACAAACUUUAAAAAUGUUUGUAUAUUUUUUGGAAGACAACAGUACGGGGAAGCAUAAAGGCUUUUCAUGGUGAGCACUGACGUUUCUGCCGGCUGCUAUUCUUGGCCGGGCCUGCUAGACCUGUUUCUAGUUCGCAGAAGUCCAUCUACUGAAUCUGCUCAUUUUUGUCAUAACUUGAUGGUGCCACCUUCCCCCUUAGUUGGAGUGGGAUAAUGGAGCGAGUCGCACAGAGGUGUCGAGUGAGUCGGACAAUUCUUUUUUCUUUAUUGAGGCAGUAGAUGUAUGUAUUUGGAUACGUUUUCUUCUGAGAAUUCAUUUCGAGCUGCGUCAUAUUCUUCAAAUAAAUAAGCUGUCUGCAGGCUGCAGACUUUCUGUGGGGAUUUCCAGUUCACAUCCUCGAAUAAGAGACACUAAGUGGAGAAAAUAAUGGAGUUGAUGGUAAAAGAAGAGAUGAGAAAGAAAAGUAAGAGUUUUCUUCUCUGCUUUCACCUGCUGACUCUUCUCCAACUCGCUGCGCCCUCUUCAGCUCAAAACAUCACCACGUCAGCCGCUGACGGUUUCCGCACUCACCCAGCCGACGUCACAGUGGCUGUUGGAGAACCGGCCGUGUUUCGCUGUGGAGUUCCCGAAGCUUCUCCAGACUUCACAUUCACCUUGCGGGGGGCGCACGGAAACUACCUCCUCACGUGCCCCUCGGGCCACGUGGAAGACGUUCCCCAGGCUCUCUAUGGAAGUUGUGAGGUGAGAAAUGGAGAGUCAUCAGCUGUGUGGACCCUAAAGGGAACUUCUUUCUCCGACAACGGGACACAGGUCUCCUGUCAGCAGCCAAAGAAUCCUAAUAGCGCUGCUGCCGUGCUGCACGUCUACGAUAACGGCACCAGCCACGCCAUUCUCAUUGGUUGUAUCAUUGGCGGCUUCUUUGGCACGUUGUUGGUCUUCGGCUUACUGUACGUCAUGCUGCAGAGAUCUGAGAGGCUGCAGAAGUGCUUCUGGAGCGGAGAAACACCGGAGGAUUCGACCACAAUAGUAACAAAGGAGUAAAAGGAGACGGCUCUCUAUGUUGCUCUCUACCUUCGAACCCACAUGGAAAGAAUGGAAGCGUCAAACGUUUUUGGACAAUCUAAGUGAAAAAGAGCUGUAUUUAUGUCUGGAGGUUAUUCUGUUGAGGCCGGGUCCAUCCUGGACAUCUUCACUUUUACCUUUUUUGUCUUGAAUAACCGGGCCUUGCACACGUUAUAUACAUCCUACCAGUAUAUAAUGUAGCAUGCACACAACAGCACAUGUGGCGGUUACUUUAUAAACUUUAUAUACUAUAAAUGUGUGAAAUGUCUUAUGCGAUGUUAUCAAAGUGGGGAGGGAUUUAGUGUUGAAUGAGGCCCAGAAUAGCUGUUUUGUGCUUCCACAUAUGUAUCACAGCUGUGUUCCCAAAAAACGAUUAAAGGUGAAAUACUAGUCGUGUCCUCGCCAGGCUCGUCCAACCAGUUUAGUAAGUUUCUCUUUCACGGUCGCUCCACUUGAAGGAAGCACUCAGUGCCCAGAUUAGUUUGUUGUUUUCACACUACACUGUGACACGUUCACCUUUCUCAUAGAAUGGAUUGAGAAAAUGUGUCCGAACGUUACAUUUUGAAUGGUCCUCGUGCUUUUCUCAUGUUGUCUUUGCCUAAAACGAGGUGUGUGGUCCUUUGCAAUCGUCCAAACCGAAGCUGCAUUAUAUCAAAACAAAAACUAUUUGCAAACAACUGUGGAUUUCUGUAUCCCUCGACCUUCAGAAGCUGGGGGGACUCGCCGCCAGUGACCCCACACUGACGUGGUCGCGGCGUUGGCGUGUCUGUUGCUCCCCCCUGGUGGUGAGCGCGUUCCAUGCUGUCAGGAACAAACGCUCACUGCCACGGACCCUUCGGCCUUCACGUGCAUUCACCAGCUUCAAGAGGCAGCAGUGUGAGCCGGAUCAAGGCUGCUUUUGUCUCAUCUGGUAGCCGUCAUCCAGCUUCAUUAUAGUCAUUUGCGGUGCGCGGGGUUGAUUCACCCAUUCACAAGUUUGCCAACACGGACAGUUUCUAUCUUUCUUAAAGAGCCAUCGUUGGGUUUAGUCUAAGGUAGCCAAAUUGCUUUCGCCAAGUCCCCUUUUAACUUUGCAAUGCCCUCCAACUGGUUUUUAAUGAUCCUGCUAAUUUGUCCAUAUGACAAAAAAAAACAUGAUACACCAAAACGUUCCUCAAUGACAAUGAUAUGCUAUAAAUUAUAAAUAAAUGCAUUGCAUCUUUAAGGAAACACGCAAUAUCUGGGAAAUCAACGCAUUAAAGUGUUUUUUCACUGCUUUUGACGUUUGAUAUUUCAUGACUCUCCCAGUGUUGUUACACCUGAAAGAGCAGAACGGAGAGCUAGCAACACACACACACACACACACACACACACACACACACACACACACACAUGCAGACAGGGCCAUCAGCAGGAGAGAAGUCCAGCCUUUUCUUUUAGUCAAUACAACAGAGGCCGUAUGGAGCAACGUGUUGACUCAGCUGCUCUGCUCGGUUCACUCAUGAUGGGGUCCUGUCAUAUUCUGCUGUCUGAUUUCUUCACUUUCUCCAACACUGAAGAUGAAUUCCCACAGAUGAAGCAACGAGGUGGUCCAUUUAUA